rnacentral:rRNA from 1 species
GACGUAGGGCGCGAGCGUUGUCCGGAUUUAUUGGGCGUAAAGAGCUCGUAGGCGGCUUGUCGCGUCGACUGUGAAAACCCGCGGCUCAACUGCGGGCCUGCAGCCGAUACGGGCAGGCUAGAGUUCGGUAGGGGAGACUGGAAUUCCUGGUGUAGCGGUGAAAUGCGCAGAUAUCUGGAGGAAUACCGGUGGCGAAGGCGGCAUCCUGGACCGGCAUUGACGCUGAGGAGCGAAAGCCAGGGGAGCAAACGGG